rnacentral:rRNA from 1 species
CAAUAGCGUAUAUUUAAGUUGCUGCAGUUAAAAAGCUCGUAGUUGGAUUUCGGGUGGGAAUGGCCGGUCCGCCGUUUCGGUGUGCACUUGCUACGCCCACCUUGCUGCCGGGGACGUGCUCUUGCGUUCACGCUCGGGACACGGAGUCGGCGAGGUUACUUUGAGUAAAUUAGAGUGUUCAAAGCAGGCCUACGCUCUGAAUACAUUAGCAUGGAAUAACACGAUAGGACUCUGGCCUAUCUUGUUGGUCUGUAGGACCGGAGUAAUGAUUAAGAGGGACAGUCGGGGGCAUUCGUAUUUCAUUGUCAGAGGUGAAAUUCUUGGAUUUAUGAAAGACGAACUACUGCGAAAGCAUUUGCCAAGGAUGUUUUCAUUGA